AACUUUGCGCAGUGGCAGUAUCGUAGCCAAUGAGGUUUAUCUGAGGCGCGAUUAUUGCUAAUUGAACAGGGAGGAAGCAUGGUAAAGUGGUGAAAAGCAUAGCUCUGGACUCAAUACCUAGACCCACGACUUGUAUGGAUAUGUAAAUGAACA
rnacentral:snRNA from 13 species